rnacentral:rRNA from 2 species
AGAGUUUGAUCCUGGCUCAGAACGAACGCUGGCGGCGUGCUUAACACAUGCAAGUCGAACGUGAUUGGAAGCUUGCUUCCAUGAAAGUGGCGCACGGGUGAGUAACGCGUGGAUAACCUGCCCUGGUAUCCGGAAUAACGUCUCGAAAGGGGUGCUAAUACCGGAUAAGCCUACGGAGCCCUCGGUCUCUGCAGGAAAAGGAGGCCUCUAUUUAUAAGCUUCCGUAUCRUGAKGGGUCCGCGUACCAUUAGCUAGUUGGUGGGGUAAUGGCCUACCAAGGCSACGAUGGUUAGCUGGUCUGAGAGGAUGAUCASCCACACUGGAACUGAGACACGGUCCASACUCCUAYSGGAGGCAGCAGKGGGGAAUUUUGCGCAAUGGGGGAAACCCUGACSCAGCAACGCCGCGUGAGUGAUGAAGGCUUUCGGGUCKUAAAGCUCUGUCAGAGGGGAAGAAAUGAAACGUGCUAAUAUCACGUUUUCUUGACGGUACYYUCAARGGAAGCACCGGCUAACUCCGUGCCAGCAGCCGCGGKAAUAC